rnacentral:rRNA from 1 species
CCUACGGGGGGCAGCAGUGAGGAAUAUUGGUCAAUGGGCGAGAGCCUGAACCAGCCAAGUAGCGUGAAGGAUGACUGCCCUACGGGUUGUAAACUUCUUUUAUAAAGGAAUAAAGUGAGGCACGUGUGCCUUUUUGUAUGUACCUUAUGAAUAAGGAUCGGCUAACCCCGUGCCAGCAGCCGCGGUAAUACGGAGGGACCGAGCGUUAUCCGGAUUUAUUGGGUUUAAAGGGAGCGUAAAUGGGUUGGUAAGUCAGGUGUGAAAGUUUGCGGCUCAAACGUAAAAUUGCAGUUGAUACUGGCAGUCUUGAGUGCAGUUGAGGUAGGCGGAAUUCGUGGUGUAGCGGUGAAAUGCUUAGAUAUCACGAAGAACUCCGAUUGCGAAGGCAGCUUACUAAACUGCAACUGACAUUGAUGCUCGAAAGUGUGGGUAUCAAACAGGAUUAGAUACCCUUGUAGUC